AUCCACCGCCCAGAGUGACCCCGCCCCUGCUCCCCGGCAGGUGUUCCACGUGGCCAUAGCGUUUGCGUCACAAUGACCUGGCUGACAGGAAAGAACCAAACCAUUGUUUCUAGAGACCCUGCAGUGUACAGAUCACAGGAAGAAAAAGUGUUGGCAUAGUUGCUUCCUAAUGCUAUCUAUGUGGAAAUGAGACCUCAGUGUACAAUCACUCCAUCCCUGGUUGUGUUGUAUGUUUAUAAAUAAGUUCAUUCAGUCGUCGCUGAAACAAUUUAAAAGGGCAGAAUGAUUGCUACUGAGUAAUGAUGCUGACAAAUCUGAAAUCCUGCGCUAACAUGGAUGGAGUGCUAGCUAUGUGCCGGGCACAUUCUGUGUGCUUUACGUUUAUUCUUGCAGCAACCCAAUACAGUAGGUAAAAUCAUUAUCCCGAUUUUACAGAUGAAGACACUGCCCAGAGUGCCACAAAGAGAUAAUUGAGCAGGGAUUUGAAUCUGAACCAGGAGACUUAGCUUAAUCUCAAGAUAGCAUGGUGUCUUGCCAGAAUGGAUGGAGAAAAAGUAUAGAUGUUGACAUUUUAAUAGAAAGAUAGUAAUAUAGUAUAGCUCCAGAAAUUUACAUAACCUUUAAAGUUACUCUUUGGGGAUUCUGUUUGUUGCAGAUUUGAGCCUGUCCUAGUCUAACACAAAUUUUGGAGCUGAGUAAACAGCUCCUUAAUAAGUGUGUAUGAGUAAACAAAUCAUGAAUAUGGUCUACGAAAUAGCAAAUUGUUGAAAAGCUAAGAUUCAGGAGAAACUUUUAGAGAGAAAAGCAUUGCUUCUAUAUAUUUGGCUUUUAUAAGAAACAUUCAAACUAACCUGUUAACAGCGCAAGCCAAAUGACUUUGCUGUAUGUAAGAAGAAACAAAACAAAA